UACUAUGUUACGACUUAUCUCACCUUAAUAAUGAGAGUGACGGGCGAUGUGUACACAUUAUAGAACUAAUUUCACUUUUACAAUCUACAAAAAAUUACUAUUAAAUCCACCUUCAUAAUCAAAAAUUCCAAUAAUUAAUCCACAAACUUAAUAUAAUGUAAUCCAUCUCUACUUACUUAUAAACUGCACCUUGACUUGAACUAUCAUUUAUUAUAAAAUAACAUAAAAAUUUAACCCUAAAAAGAUUUAAAUAACAGCGAUAUACAUAUUAAUUAAAGUAAGUAAGGUUCAAUGCGGACUAUCAAUUAUAGAACAGAUUCCUCUAAAUAGAUUAUUAUGCCGCCAAAAUCUUUAAGUUUCAAGACCUAAACUAAUACUACUCAGAUUAAUUCUUUACAUAAAAAAUAAUAGGGUAUCUAAUCCUAGUUU
rnacentral:rRNA from 1 species